rnacentral:rRNA from 1 species
GUGUCAGCAGCCGCGGUAAUACAGAGGUGGCAAGCGUUGUUCGGAAUUACUGGGCGUAAAGGGCGCGUAGGCGGCCUUCUAAGUCGGACGUGAAAGCCCCAGGCUUAACCUGGGAACUGCGUCCGAUACUGGGAGGCUUGGAUUCGGGAGAGGGAUGUGGAAUUCCAGGUGUAGCGGUGAAAUGCGUAGAUAUCUGGAGGAACACCGGUGGCGAAGGCGGCAUCCUGGACCGACAUCGACGCUGAGGCGCGAAAGCUAGGGGAGCAAACGGGAUUAGAUACCCCGGUAGUCC